GAUGAACGCUAGCUGCAGGCUUAACACAUGCAAGUCGAGGGGUCUUUUGGAGCUUGCUUUAAAAGACGACCGGCGCACGGGUGAGUAACGCGUAUCCAACCUGCCCUUCAUAUUGGGAUAGCCUUCCGAAAGGAAGAUUAAUACCGAAUAACAUGAUAGAGUUGCCUGAUUUUAUCAUGAAAGCUCCGGCGAUGAAGGAUGGGGAUGCGUUCCAUUAGGUAGUAGGCGGGGUAACGGCCCACCUAGCCGACGAUGGAUAGGGGUUCUGAGAGGAAGGUCCCCCACACUGGAACUGAGACACGGUCCAGACUCCUACGGGAGGCAGCAGUGAGGAAUAUUGGUCAAUGGGCGCAAGCCUGAACCAGCCAAGUAGCGUGAAGGAUGACUGCCCUAUGGGUUGUAAACUUCUUUUAUACGGGAACAAACCCCGGUACGUGUACCGGAUUGCGUGUACCGUAAGAAUAAGCACCGGCUAACUACGUGCCAGCCGCCGCGGUAAUAC
rnacentral:rRNA from 1 species